AUUGAACGCUGGCGGCAGGCCUAACACAUGCAAGUCGAGCGAGCGGCGGACGGGUGAGUAAUGUAUGGGGACUGCCCGAUAGAGGGGGAUAACUACUGGAAACGGUGGCUAAUACCGCAUACUAUCGGAUAACCCAUAUGGGAUUAGCUAGUAGGUAAGGUAAUGGCUGAACAAGGCGACGAUCCCUAGCUGGUCUGAGAGGAUGAUCGGCCACACUGGGACUGAGACACGGCCCAGACUCCUACGGAGGCAGCAGUAGGGAAUCUUGCACAAUGGGCGAAAGCCUGAUGCAGCCAUGCCGCGUGUGUGAAGAAGGCCCUAGGGUUGUAAAGUACUUUCAGUCGGGAGGCGUUACCGACAGAAGAAGCAACGGCUAACUCCGUGCCAGCAGCCGCGGUAAUAC
rnacentral:rRNA from 1 species